rnacentral:rRNA from 1 species
UACGAAGGGUGCAAGCGUUACUCGGAAUUACUGGGCGUAAAGCGUGCGUAGGUGGUUUGUUAAGUCUGUUGUGAAAGCCCCGGGCUCAACCUGGGAAUGGCAAUGGAUACUGGCAGGCUAGAGUGCGGUAGAGGGUAGUGGAAUUCCCGGUGUAGCGGUGAAAUGCGUAGAGAUCGGGAGGAACACCAGUGGCGAAGGCGGCUACCUGGACCAGCACUGACACUGAGGCACGAAAGCGUGGGGAGUAAACAGG